rnacentral:rRNA from 1 species
CGUGAAAUUGUCGAAAGGGAAGCGCUUGAAGUCAGCCAUGCUGCUUGAGACUCAGCCUUGCUUUUGCUUGGUGUAUUUCUCGGUAGCAAGCCAGCAUUGGUUCGAGUCGUCGGAGAAGGGUAUGAGAAAUGUGGCAUCCUCGGAUGUGUUAUAGACUUGUACUGGAUACGACGAUUUGGAUCAAGGAACGCAGUGUGCCUCUGGCGGGUCUU